rnacentral:tRNA from 17 species
CAAGAAAAGGUCAGGAUAGCUCAG